GUCCUCUAUCUGUUGCGGGCAGAUGAAAUGGAUGUGGCUGUCAAAACCACCCGCUGUCAGAAUGCGUCCUUCGCCAGCGAUGGCCUCUGUUCCCGGUCCGAUGAUGAUGUCGACGCCGGGUUGCGUAUCCGGGUUUCCGGCCUUGCCGAUCUUUGCAAUUCGCCCGUCCUUCAGACCGACAUCCGCCUUGUAAAUGCCGGAGUGGUCCACAAUCAGAGCAUUGGUGAUGACGGUAUCAACGGCCCCUGCCGCCCGCGUGGCUUGCGACUGCCCCAUCCCGUCGCGGAU
rnacentral:sRNA from 1 species